rnacentral:rRNA from 1 species
GACGAACGCUGACGGCGUGCUUAACACAUGCAAGUCGAAGGGAGUGGCGAACGGGUGAGUAAUACGUGAGUAACCUGCCCUUUUCUUUGGGAUAAGCCUGGGAAACUGGGUCUAAUACUGGAUGGAUUGGGCUGGUCUGGCGGCUUAUCGGCUUGGUGGUGGGGUGAUGGCUUACCAAGGCUUUGACGGGUAGCCGGCCUGAGAGGGUGGUCGGGGACACUGGGACGGAGAUACGGCCCAGACUCGGACGGGAGGCAGCAGUGGGGGAUAUUGGACAAUGGACGAAAGUCUGAUGCAGCGACGUCGUGUGGGGGAUGAAGGCCUUCGGGUUGUAAACGCCUGUCGCCCGCGGAAUGGUAGUGGGUAAAGAAGCGCCGGCUAACUACGUGCCAGCAGCCGCGGUAAUUC